rnacentral:rRNA from 1 species
AACGAACGCUGGCGGCAUGCCUAACACAUGCAAGUCGAACGAUGCCUUCGGGCAUAGUGGCGCACGGGUGCGUAACGCGUGGGAAUCUGCCUUUCGGUUCGGAAUAACUCAGGGAAACUUGAGCUAAUACCGGAUAACGUCGCAAGACCAAAGAUUUAUCACCGAAAGAUGAGCCCGCGUAGGAUUAGCUAGUUGGUGAGGUAAAGGCUCACCAAGGCGACGAUCCUUAGCUGGUCUGAGAGGAUGAUCAGCCACACUGGGACUGAGACACGGCCCAGACUCCUACGGGAGGCAGCAGUGGGGAAUAUUGAACAAUGGGCGAAAGCCUGAUCCAGCAAUGCCGCGUGAGUGAUGAAGGCCUUAGGGUUGUAAAGCUCUUUUACCCGGGAAGAUAAUGACGGUACCGGGAGAAUAAGCCCCGGCUAACUCCGUG